AAAUUGCCAGAACAAAACAGAACACAUCGCAGAGGCAGAUAUGUAGAUACAAAUACGGAUAGAUGGUAGCCAACUGUAUUCCAUAUAGAGAUCCAUAUGUAACCCAUGCAAAGUGCAAGUGGGUGGCGCCCGUUUAGAGAACUUUGGCGACAACAACCAGAAACAACUGGAUCAACAACACAGCAACUAACAACACAAUGGGAAUACUGAGGCAAUAUGCAGUAAUAAGCAAUAAAUGGAAAUAAAGGUCAAGUUUAAGUGACGGCGAUGACGAGAGAGGCAAAAAAAAAAACAGAAUCUACAGAUGUAAUGGAAAAUAAACGAAUAAAAACUA